rnacentral:sRNA from 1 species
AUUUCACCCAGCUGGGGUGUCCAGAGCCUCACUGCAAGUAAGCAGAGUGCUACAGCAAGAGAGGCGCAAGUCAGACACAGUAAGGACUUCCCACCCGGCCGGACUCUGGCCAUGGAGAAUGUAACAUUUCAGGCAGAGACUUCUCUCUUUUUGUGGAGACAGAGGACAAGAACACUACCUUCCAUGGUCCCGGUAGUCACCUGGGCGUGGACGCAAAGCAGUGCCUAGCAGCCGGCGGAAGGCUCCUCUGCAGACCUGCCAGGCCCCUCCUCAGCCUGGGCUUCCCGCUCCUGCUCACCUCCCUCUUCUUCCAGCAGAAAAGAAUGUGGAGCCUGAGAACAUGAGUGGCUACAUUAAGCAGAAGCGGCAAAUGUUCCUCCUCCAGUAUGCCCUGGAUGUCAAGCGGAGAGAGAUCCAGCGGCUGGAGACGCUGGCGACCAAAGAGGAGGCCAGGCUGGAGCGGGCCGAG